GGGAAGUCUGUAUCAGUAUGACUGGGAGAGUAUGUAUGAGAAGGAGGGAAUGUCCGCUUACACGGGGACGGGGGUGUGCAAUAAAAGGAGAAGCAAUCAGCGACUCUGUGAAGGAAGUGUGUGAACGGUGGAUCGGGAAUGUCAGCAGGAACGGAACAGACGCGGAAUCCCCGGCAAAGUCCUUUUCACGCCAACUUUCCCGGCCUCCGCGACUCCCACAGAGAGGACCCUAGCAUUCCGGGCCAGAACAAAACUUAUCUCAAGCCGUAGCGGUUUGUUUUAUUUUAAAGUUCCUGGCGUAGUCACGGUCCUGAAGGCAGGUCAACUCCGUUCCUCUCUCCACAGAUGCUGCCCGAUCUGCUAUGUGCUUCAGGCAUGUUCCAGUCUCUCGGGCUAAGAGGCCGCUGAUUCGAGCUUACGGCUGCCAAUCGUGGAGCUCCGAGCUGUCAACGUCCAAUGCACUGAAACUGAUCUGACCGAAUGCGGUGUGGUCGCCCCCGCGGAACCAAACGCGCCUCUGGAUGACUCCACGUCCGAGGCGAGAGACUGGCCCUGAGCUAAAGUCUCAACAACUAACUUUGCAACAGGCUUGCCGGUGAACUGAGCGCAAGUUGGCCCGUGGGUUUGCAAAGGUUGUACAGCUCGGACCCGUUCAGCCCCCGAAGCGCAUUUUGAUUCGUUCAUGCAUUCGGAUUUUUUGAGCAAAGAUUCCGAGAUUUGAGCUAAGAUGUGGGGAACUUUCCUGCACACGGUUGGAGCCUUGCAAAUGCUUCCUGCCUUCCUCCUCCCAACAAGAUAUUUGUGGCUGAGCUAAGACCUGCCAUCGUGCAGCGGGGCGUGGGUUACAGGCAAAAACCGCAGAAGGCGAUGGAACAAUAUUGCAACUUCCUCUCGAGCUGCUCUCUGGAGGUGAUCUAAGGCCGUGUGAAGAGCCAUUGAGAUUGUGUUUGCCAUUGACCUAUUGUGAUAGGUAAAUUGCAAUAGGUUUCAGGAAAACAAAUUCCUUACUAAUGGCGCCAGAAUUGAACUCUCAACUCCAGGAUGCCCAAGCUGCAAUAGCAUCAUGGUAACUGUAUGUUACCAUGGCACCCUUCUGCCACUGCCAUCAGAACUGGAAAGAGUGAGCGAUUUCAACUUCCUGGGUGUCAAUAUCUCUGAGGAUUUAAUCUGGGCCCAACAAAUCAGCACUGUUACAAAGAAGGCAUGACAGUGGCUAUAAUUCAUUAGGAAUUUGAGAAGAUUUGGUAUGUCAUCAAAGACACACUAAUUUCUAUAGAUGUACGUGGAUGCAUCACCAUCUGGUAUGGGGGUGGGGGCACUCCACAGGACUGAAAUAAGCUGCAAAAAGGUGUAAACACAGUCAGCUCCAUCAUGAGCUCUCACCUCCGUAUUAUCUAGGAGCAAUGCAUCAAAAAAGAGCAUUCAUCAUUGAGGAUGCCCACCACCCAGAAGAUACCCUCUUCUCAUUGCUUCCAUCAAGAAGGAUCCUGAAGACACACACUCAAUGAUUCAAGAAUAUCUUGUUCUGCACUGCCAUCCAAUUUCCGAAUGGACAUUAUUCACCUCACUACUAAUUUUACUCUUUUUGCGCUACUUAUUUAACUUUUUUUAAUAAAUGCCGGUGAUAUUAAAUCCAAUCCUGUUUCUGAUUCCUUA